GUGUGCGGUCCGUUAUUUUCCGGGUUGUGUUUCAUCGCUGGCUGUAGUUGCUCUGCUUCAGCUGCCAGCUGACACUUGUACGGAGGAGGUGAGGUCAAAAUUGACUGUCUCUCUCUCUCUCUCCCCGUGUCUGUCUGCCUGUCUGUCUGUCUGGCUAAAGAGAGACAGAGGCUGCUAACUAGCGCAGAAUCACCACCACCACCACCAUCAUCAUCAUCAUCAUCAUGGCGGAUCAAGGCGAAUCUCCGGCUCCCGUCCACCACCCGCAACCAGCGCCGACAACCAGCUGGCCAAUUACCAGGGAGUCGUACGAGCUGCAGGAAGUCAUAGGCAGCGGGGCCACAGCUGUGGUACAGGCAGCCCUCUGCACCCCCAGACAGGAGCGUGUCGCCAUAAAGAGAAUAAACCUGGAAAAAUGCCAGACUAGCAUGGAUGAGCUAUUGAAAGAAAUCCAAGCGAUGAGCCAGUGCAACCACCCCAACGUUGUCACCUACUACACCUCCUUCGUAGUGAAGGAUGAACUUUGGUUAGUCAUGAAGCUUCUGAGUGGAGGCUCUAUGCUGGAUAUAAUUAAGCACACAAGCAAAGAGGAGGACAGAAAUCGAGCGCUAGAUGAGCCUAUUAUUGCUACUAUAUUAAAAGAAGUCCUGGAGGGCCUGGACUAUCUGCACAGAAAUGGACAAAUUCACAGGGAUGUGAAAGCUGGGAACAUACUACUGGGAGAAGAUGGAUCUGUUCAGAUUGCAGAUUUUGGAGUAAGUGCGUUCCUAGCCACAGGCGGGGAUAUGACUAGAAACAAAGUACGAAAGACCUUUGUUGGCACACCAUGCUGGAUGGCGCCGGAGGUGAUGGAACAGGUUCGAGGCUAUGAUUUCAAAGCAGAUAUAUGGAGUUUUGGAAUUACAGCCAUAGAGUUAGCGACAGGCUCUGCGCCCUAUCACCGCUACCCUCCCAUGAAGGUUUUAAUGCUUACUCUACAGAAUGAUCCACCCACUCUAGAGACGGGUGUAGAGGACAAAGAAGUGCUAAAAAGAUAUGGCAAAUCAUUUAGAAAGCUAAUAACUAUGUGCCUUCAGAAGGAUCCUGCCAAAAGGCCUACAGCUGCAGAGCUUUUGAAGUGUAAAUUCUUCCAAAAGGCCAAGAACAAAGAAUAUCUGGUUGAAAAGCUUUUGUGUCGUGCACCAAAGAUUUCCCAGAGAGCGAAGAAGGACCCCGAGCAGAACUGGGGGAGCCUUGGUUCUAUGUCAGGUUUGGAAAAAAAACCCGACACCACCAGAAGGGUGAGGAGAGUCCCAGGCUCCAGUGGGCACCUGCACAAGACGGAGGAUGGAGACUGGGAGUGGAGCGAUGACGAGCUGGACGAGGGCAGUGAGGAGGGCAAGGCAGCAGUGAAUCAGGGCAGGUCACGAAGGGUCAAAGAUGAGGCCAGAGAUAAUGAGGAGAAUGCCAACAGUGUCCCUAUUGAAGGGUUGUCUAUUCAGCAUCCCCAGGUUGAACCGUAUGAGGAUGCACCCUACAUUCAAGGUGCUGUGAACAUGGUACUACGGCUAAGGCACUGAGGUCUCCUGAGAAUCGUAUUGUCAGCAGUUUGAAGGGGAAGUUCAGACUUGCAUAAUAUGCUUGCUGCUGGUGCAAUGACAUUGAAGCUUAAAUAGCCCAAAUAGCACGCAUGCAAAUUGAUUUCACUGAGCAGUUCAGUCCAGAGGUGACAUUUGCAUGUUUUUUUUCUAAAGGUUCUUCUUCAUAAAGGGUAACUAGAAGUUGACAAAUGUCAGGGUAGCUUCUGAAAUAUCUUCUUCAUAAAUGAGUCAGCCAUAAGCCUGAAGUUGAGUUUACAGGAGACAAACAAAUCCUAUCCACCUCUGCACAGGCAUCUCGCUAGGUGUCACUAGUAUAAUAACAAGGACGAUGAUCCCUCAUUGGCUUAUGAUUGCAUAUAUUUUGGGGUUUUAGCCUGUUAGUUGGACAAAACUGUGACAGAUCUUUUCACAAUUUUCUCACAUUUAUGUUGACUAACGUAUAAGUUAACUGUUGUCACAUUAAUUGGUUAUAAAAUAAUUUAAGGUAAUGCUUUAUUUUAUGGGACCUUAAUUUGCCAGGAAGUUACCUUGAAAGAAAAGUUUAAACCCAAGUAAAUAUUUAGUCAGUGGUCAUUUAUUAUUGGAAACUGUAUUCUCCACAUUUGUUGAAUUUUAAGUUUGCCUCUAAGCAUUUUUUAAUGUUCAGCUGACCUGCUGUUCACUGACUAAAAGACCCCCUAGGUUACGGUAGCAAUUAGUUAGAAUUAAUUAAUUGAAACCCUGGAGAUGAUACACUGUCUUCAUUUUCCUAUAAUUAAUAAGAAAAAUAAUGCUUCUUUUAAGGAAGGUUCAUUGAAAUUAUCAGGAAAAUACUGGCAAAUUAUGCACCUGUAAAAUAAGUAGGGUUGGUUUCUGCCCUACUAACAUUUGAACACAUUUAACUGUUAAAAUACAAGUGAAUACAAUUGGUUACCCCUUUCUUUGAUAUGCUAUUAAGAUAUGAGCUUUGGUUACUUUUUUAUUUUAUUUAUAACAGUUGAUUUUCCCCUGAGUCUGGAAAGGGGUUAGGAUUCAGUGUCAAUGUGAAUAAAACUAUGUAGCUUCAGUAGGGCAAAUGUUUGUUGGCCUUGGUAUCAUAGUGUGUUGUGUUUUCUGUAAUAUAUCUACAUUUGUCUUGCCUAAAAAUAUCCAGUAGUCAGUAAUCUCUGUGACUGCCAACAAUGCAGGGCUGCAAUGCUGACAGCAGUAGGACAUUUUUGAAAGGUUGCCUUAGAGAUAUCACCAGUCUUCGUUAUGUUUCCCAAUGAAAUGUUUAUUAAAGCCUGUCACAUUAUUAGUGGGAAAGCAAUCUGCCCACUUUAGGAUUACACUGUAAUAUGUUUUGUCCUAAACCUGCCUUUGUCUAGAGGGAUUAUACAGUCAUAUCAAAUACGCAAGUUAGUUCACAAUGUGUCAGAAAUACUAAGGCGUUUGGUGGGUGAAAUGAUAAUUUUUUACUGCUGUUGAACUGGAAACGAAAUCUCCAGAGUGCUCUAGAUCAUACACGUCAUGACAGAGUUCAGUCUACUAUAUAUGGCUAAUCCCAAAGGAUCCUCACGUAGUCUGACAGAAUGCUUUCUAAACACUGUUGGUUUUCUUCAGAGGAGGCAGAAUUUAGGCACAAUCUAUCUUGGCAGGGUUAUGAUCCUCUGACAUACGUGUGGCCUCGCCUUGGCAAUGUGCACCUACUGCUUCCACUGCUGGGAAUAGAGAUGUUGUUUACGUCCAUCUGCUCCACCAGAGUUUUACCCAGUUCUUUUUCAACCAUAACUCUCUAAAAUGAAAAAAGUCUGACUCACAGCUGAGCUGAUAGUAAAUCCUCACUCCCACUAUUUUGUAUAGACUUGCUGCUAAUACACUGAAUGCAGAAUGCAUUAGCUAUGUGUGUGUUGAAUUAUGGCUCUGUCUCAUCUGAAAUGAGGGCUGUGGGCUGGCCAUGUGAUUUAUUUAACUAGAUUACAAACCAAAUUAAUCCUCUCCUACCACACGUUUUUUGGGUUGCGCUGACAUGUCCUGCUUUCAUAGAUACUGGCCACUCCCCUGUCACACACACAUUUUAAAGACCUAUUUCUAAUGCAAGUGAUGCAAAUAAAUGCAAGUUGAUGCUGCAAAGACGGGAACAGUUUUAAUGCAGUCAGCCAAGUCAAGCCAAGUUUAUUUUUACAUUUUACUGCAGUCUAUGGUUGAGAUACAUACCACCUUAAAGUUACAGCUACAACACUGAAAUCAUGUUUAGUCACAUUUAAUCUUCACAGAACAUUUAAAUAGCUAAAUGCAGAGAGAUAAGCAGAUGCCAGCAUUUUCUGCAGUUCUCCGUGUAGUCCUUUCAACUCUGCUGUAUACAUCUUAGUGGAUGCAGCAGGUGUGAGGUAUGCAGCAGAAGCAGUUAUACAGCUGUUACCUUCAUACUGCUCAGUAUGUGGAAAACUACUGAGCCAUGUCCUCUGCACAUUCUCCACUGCUACAGCACAUUUUGCCCAUGCAACUCAUUUAUUAAAUCAUUGCUUUAGUUACUUGGGUAACAGUCAUUUAUAUUUAUAUAUAAAUAAUAUAUAUCAUAUAUAAGGGAAUAAUGAAUGUGUACUCUGCAGUUUUAGUGAGGCCUUUCAGCUAAUUGUUUGGGUUUUCUUGCCCUCAACUUUACUGUUUUUGUUCACUCUCACUGCUCUUAUUAGUGCCAUUUUCAGCAAAAAAAACAAAAAAAAAAUCAACUGUACGCUUCCUGCCCAGCACCAAAGGGCACACAGUUAAAGUUAGUGGAUCUAAUGGAGCAUUAGCAGCAAAAGAGCUCGAUAUUUUCAGUUUUAAAAGAGUGAAUAUUGGAACAUUUUUCAGGUGAACACAAACAUGACUCCAAAUGAAUGCUGCUGCUUGAUGACUAAAUAUGCCAUUGUUUGCUAAUACGUUCGCCAUAUCAACUUUAUGAGGUGAUAGUGUGUUUACAGCUUGUUGUGGCCAAAAAAUAUUUUUAAGGAUAACAAUUUCAUACUUGUUUUCUACUUGUCUCUGCUUCCUUUUAAAUAUUUGUGCCCAGAGGACACUCAUAGAAACACAAAAUCUAAAUCUGAAUUUUCAGAUACUACUUGUUCAGUCACACCCUUUUCUCUUUUUUCCCCCAGGAACUCGAGAAAGGAGUUGAAUGACAUCCGGUUUGAAUUCACUCCUGGACGAGACACCGCUGAUGGCGUUUCCCAGGAAUUGUUCUCAGCCGGCCUUGUCAACGGGCACGAUGUUGUUGUUGUUGCUGCUAACCUUCAGAAGAUUGUAG